AGAAAUGUACCAUUCCGAGUACGAGUGCGGUUGGCACGCCGUAGAAACGAGGACGAAGAUUCCCCACACAAGUUCUAUACAUUGGUAACACACGUUCCAGUAGCUUCUUUCAAAGGUAAAAACUAUUUAAAUUAAUUUAUUUUUAUUUAAUGAAAAUUUAUAAACAGUGAUAACAAAAAUGUUCUUUCAAACGUCGGUCAGACUAUAACGCUGAAAUAGCUGGUGGAACUUGUCGUUUGUUGGUAGUAAUUUUUAACUUUGUUCAUAUUUUUGUGCACAGUUAUGUCCUUCAUUUAUUAUAUCAUGUCCCCAUCAACCUCCGGCGAAACUAGCUGUUGGGGUAUUAAAAAUAUAACUACCGAUAAUAUCACAGGGGGCAGAAAAGUACGAUUGUGUUUAUUUAAAAUACCUUGUCAUAAAACCUAUAUAUCGCAUAGUUUCAUCCAGGUUUCAUCACGUUGAAAAUUAUGUUGAUUUUUAAAAAAAAUUUCGAUAAUAUCAUGCCUACUACUUCAUGUAAUUCAAACAUUGUAUGUGUGAUACACAUAGUAGCGUGGGCUCGUAGCCAUAGUAACGUGGGCUCAUACUAGAAUGAUUGGCUUUGUUUACACGUACAAAUACCCUCGGCAUCCUUUCGUAAGAUGUUCGGAAAUUGUCGUUGCAAUGCAAUGAUGUUUGAACUACAUGAAGUAGAAGGCAUGAUAUUCGAUCCUUUUGUGACUUUGUCUGCGGAUUGUUGUGAUAUAAAUAUGCGAUAUUAGUUGAUGACAAGGUAUUUAUAAAACACAAUUGUACUUCUCUGCCCCCUGUGUAAUAUCGAUAAAUUAUAUUUUACUUUUAACUCCAAAAAGACGCAAAAUAUUUAACCUAAUUUUUCCCAGUCCAAAGCCGGUUACAGACGAGCAAGUUUUCUAUGACAAGUUUUUAUAUUACAAGUUUUAUUUGCUCGUCUGUACGCGCAACUUUGACAAUUUUUUCUAUGACACACUCACUUGUUCAAAAGCUAGCAUGCUAUUUUUUUCAAAGUACAAAUUUUGUUCGUCUUUAUGGGUCAACAAAGUAAGUUGUCAAAGUAAUCUGAGCAUUUGAUGUGAUUGGCCAGCGAACUAUUAUAAUUUUUCUGUCAUGGCGGCGAUAAACACCUUUUUCUGACACGUUCACACCAGUAAAUAUAACUUGUCAUAUGAAAACUUGUCAUAUAAAAUUUGUUGCAUAUACACACGUGCACUUGGCAAAUAAAACUUGUCACAUAAAAACUUGUCAUAGAAAACGUGGUCGUCUGUAUCCGGUUUAAUUGCACAGUGCCUUGACAUUUCAAAACAGUAACACAAAGGGGUGCAGCUUUAUGCGUGCGCUGGGGACAUUACACAGGUCACGUUGAAAACGAAAUAGUUUUGAGGGCCAAAAUUCGUAACAGUUCGACUUUAGUUAUAGUCGAACUGGGAAAAUUUAGCUACCUUUUUAAAGGCUUUAAUGCAAAUGCCCAUGCUCAAUACCGGCCAGAUUCGUAUUGUCGGGAUAUCGAUACUUCAAAAUGCAUUAUCGAAUAAACCCACAUAAUGUGUUGACUUAUCACUCUCGAAAUCCAUUUUUUUAUUUGGAACGCCAAUUCAAAACAAAAAAUAAAACAGAUACAACAUGAGAUACUAAUGAAAUUAUCAGCAAGACUCUGUUGCCGUUCCAAGAUUUAUAUGCUCCUUUCAAAUUACAAUUAUAUAUACACAAAGAAAUUAUUUAUAUUUGUUAGCAUUAUUAUUAUUAGUAAAAUAUAUUUUGUGUUCUGUGACUAAUUGUUUUCUAAUUUUUGAGAAGAUUUGAAAGGGAGCUGGCUCCCUGAAAUAACCACAGGGCUAUAUAAAUAUCAGGGAACCAAACAAAGGACGAAAAAUUUAUGAAAAUUGACAAUAUAGUUCUAUAUCAAAUAAAUUUUAAAAGAUCGAGAAAGGAGUCCUGACGGGAGAUAACGUAUAGAAAAAGUUGGAAAUCAAUAUAGUUGGAAAGUUGGAAAUCAAAAAAAUUGGAAAUCAUGUAUCAGAGAGCGACUGUUGACCACUUGGUCAACAGGCGACUGUUGACCACUUGGUCAACAGUCGCUCUCUGAUCCAUGACCAAGCUCAAUGAACACACUGCACACAUACCCCUUCCCUACCAGAUUUGAUAUAGGAUCAACCCAGUCCAUAUAGCUUGCUAUAGCAUGCGAUUCUUUUGGUUCUUCGGUUUAGCUUAAUUGAUUGUCCUUAAUUCCAUUAAUGUUUUGACAUGAUUGUACUGUAUAUUCAAUUUUAUUUAUUAUUUCAUUUUAGGCUUAGAAACCAAGAUUGUAGAAGCUGAUGACUAAGUUAACGUGAAAUUGUGUAAUAAAGUGUUCAAUAAUAUUAAUUUGUUGUUGUAUCUUGUCUCUAUUUCUGUAUAUUAUACACGUCAGUCUCCACCCUUUUAGUACAAAGUAAUUUACAUUAUAGCGACGUAGGCAAAGGUUCUAACGAGAAUGUCGUGUAUAGAUAUACUAUAUAGUUUAAACAAAGUGGGGGUUACCGUAAUGGGUAUCCAUUACUUUGUUUAAUAAAAAAUGUCAGUGUUUAUUACUCCUCCGGUCGCUGGUGCGUUGGAGGUUUAAAAUGGCCAUUUUCAGUUUUAGUUUUAGUCGUCAUAUUUCCACAGAAUACCCUACCAUCAUCUACAUCUACGGAUAUUACGACUUUGAGGGUACUUUAUAGUGCAUUGUGAAAGUUCCCCUUUGGCUUUGCAACUACUGUCAAGCUAUUAAAAAGAUAAAAUUCAAGCGAGACGGCACAAAAUAGACAACGUAAACAACCUAUAGCGAUAGAGGGAGCUUGCAAUUGCAUUAUGUUACGUUGAACUGUUUAAAAAGAAAAAGGCUGAAAAUUACGUAAUGGCAUGCAAUGCGUCCUGCAGACUGGCUUUAAAUUAAAUAUAAUUUUAAGUGUAAGAUUUUUUCCAAUGAAACAGAUAAUAAGUACAUUAGAACUUUGAAAGAAUAUACAUGAUUUUCAAAACGAAUCAUCCGAUUUAUCUACAUGAAAUGUGUAUAGACUAGUAUAGGCAUGCGUGGAAUAUCUAAGCUGAAGAAUAUAUGAAAGUAAUUACCAAUGGGCAAUGGUAUAAACAACGCUGCCUAAUGUUUAACAACUCUGAGGGAAAACCACUGCCUAGCGCAAGCAAAAUGGCAAAAUACUUUCCGUUCAAAAUUUAGAUUUUACGCGAAAUUGAUUAAAACUUUCGGUCGAAAUAAAUCAUGAAAUACAACUAAUUGUGCUAUAAAUUUCAUCCUCCUUUCGCCUUGAGUUAUUUUUGCCAAAACGGGGGACAACAGAAGUGAAAAAAUCGUAAUAACCUUUAGUCCAUAGAAAGGCUUUGCAAUAUUUAUUUUAAAUCAUUUUAAUGCAUCCAUGUGCAAAUUCUUUGUAGGUGAUCAGAAAUUUACAAAACUUUAUUUGCAGAAAUUAUACAAAAAGUUCGGAAAACUAAGGUCAAAUUGCGAAAAUUACAAACCUAUAUAUAUAUAUAUAUAUAUAUACCACAAAUAAUGCUGGGUUUGGUGGAUAAUCCAAACCAGGAACGGUUAUGAAAAAUGCAACACUAUACCACAGAAUACUACACAGAAGUCCAUCUCCAUUGUUUUUAGCGUAAGCUCUAUUCGUCAUGAUUCGUCACUCAGCAAGUACCGUAAACAGAAGCAGUCCCCCUCCUGGAAAUACUAAAAAUGGCGUAUGUCCAGGGGGUGACUGCUUCUGUUUACGGUACUUGCUGAGUGACGAAUCAUGACGAAUAGAGCUUACGCUAAAAACAAUGGAGAUGGACUUCUGUGUAGUAUUCUGUGACUAUACUCUAUAGUAUAUCUAGGUCCUCUGGCAGGAAUCAGACGUGCGGCCCUACGAGUAUGACCCUACGCAAACUGGGUACAUCGCUACGUUUCUUACACGAAAAUCCUAUUCAAACCUCCUUCAAAUCUCUAGUCGCAAUGUUUCGUGACCAUAAGCCCCGAUGACCGCUCAUAAGUAGCCAGCCACAGAGUACAGACAAUGACGAAUAAUGAUGAGCGUCACAUUUCGAGUUACUAUAGAAUUUUAUCAAGUGAAUAUAGUCUAUAGACGCAACUCGUGUAGCGGUCAAAAGCCAAUGCAACUAUGGAAACGCAAGCAACAUAAGAUGGCAAAUGAAGAAAAGGAUGAAUAACAAAUCCAUUGACACAUGCAUGGUCUCCAAUAACGAGAAAGAAUCCCCGGGAAACAUGAUGAUAUCGGCAAUUAUCAUUAUUUGCUCCAACGAGGAGUAAAAUAUUUGAAAAUAUUCUAGUAAAUAUGAUUUCGAAGCGAGGAAUGAUAUACAAACUUGGAAGAGAAAUCCAACGAGAAAAAACAAAUGGAUAAAUUAAAAGUCUCGUUCAUUUCAUUUCGUAGUUUGUAAUCCGCUUUUCAGGACGCCUUUAAAGCAGGCCGGGGCGGCGCUAAAGGUGUGUGUUGGGGGGGGGGACACCCCCAGUUGGCAAAUUGUUUUCGUAGACGUCGGCAAAACAUGAAUUUGGAUCGGAAGAAAAAAAUUAAACUAUUUGAGUGACACUGAUUAAAAAUUAAUAAUGAUCGGCUAAAAUGUGGAGAAAUUUAUGGGAGGGAAAAGAAAGAACAAUAAGUAAGAGUUAAUUACCGAGAAGGAGGGCUUUAUGCUAUAUACAGCCCCGAGAACGCGAAGCGUUCGAGGACUUUAUAUAGCAUAAAGCCCGACAUUCUCGGUAAUUAACUGACUUAUUUCAUGAUUGAAGAGGUUUUCUAACAAAGUUUUAUUCUUUUUUUUCGAUUUCGACAAGUAUUUUUCUAGUUUUCUCCCUUAUUUCUUGACUAAUUAGGGCUUUAUGGUAUUCAAGGGCAUUAUGCUAUAUACAGCCCGCGGUACAUCAAAGAAAACCGAGUCAAUCAUGAAAUAACGGUAGUUAUUAAUUUUGGAAGUGUACUAAUCCAUCUGUCUUAACGAGAAUAGCACAUAUAUUGAGGCCAUUGACACAUUCUCAUUCAGUAAUGUCUCUUUAAUAGGUCGUCAAUAAUGUCAACUGAUGCACUCUAUGGAGCAGAUGCAUGUGCGAAGUGAGAUUACUGUUUAAAAGUUUAAUGUGAAAACGAAUACAUAACUUUAAUUAAGCAAUAGGAGAUGUUGCUGUAAUGAAAAUACUAUUGAAAAUUAAUAAUGA